rnacentral:sRNA from 1 species
GACCUAAACCAUCCGUAAGGUUGGCAUGGUUGCCUAAUCCAUACAGAACAAACAGCUCGUCGUCAGAGCACUGUUCUGUAUGGUCAUAGUCCGAAAGGAUUAUGGGUGGCCUUCGGGUCAUC